AAAAUCCUCCAUGCUCCUCCGAGGGCCAGCUCCAUUGGGGACAAUAUCCUUUGGGGGCAACAGAGUGGCUGACAAAGGGUACCGUGAGAAUCCCAUUCUGAGGACAGGGGACUAAAAGACUCAUAAAGGUGUUGAUUUUGAGGUACACACCCUGAAACUACUACUAUAGUACCUCUCACCUUCUCAGCUGUGCUUCUUGGUAAGGCCAGGGCAGAGAGACCACAGGCACUGAAGGUGAGCAAGUGCCUGUCUCCUCUUCCCUUUGUGAACAGUGCUCUGUGUCGGGAGUGUGGUGAUGGUGGUGGGGACAUUCACUGUGAGAUAUAGCAGAAGUGAGGCCUUCUGUCCUUUGAUGUCUGCAGAGGAGACUGGAAGGUGUCACUUCAAAGGAAUGCUUGAGGGAGCAAGCCAGCAGCUCACCUUGAGGCCCCAGACCCUGCCUUUGUUCUGAGGCAGUCACCUGAGAAACAACCAAAACUUAUCUGCACGGAGUGGGGGGUGGGAGGAGGAGGUGGGAGAGAGUGGGAGGGGUGUUGUACAGCACAGUCACACACACACACACACACACACACACACACACACACACACACCCCACUCGCAUGUGGUGCAUGCACAAUAGACUGAUGUUCUUAGGCUUUGGGAAGGACUAUCUCCAGCAGCUGGAAGCCCCUGCCAUAUUUUCAACAGGCCCCCCACCCCACCCCGCAGCCACUCUCGCCCUCGAAACAACGUUUCUUUCCCCCUGAAGGAGCAGCUGAGGCUUUGCUUUCUCUGGAGGCCACCAGGUACAAUCAGUUGCUAUAGAGUAAGGCAGGGACAGGUGCCAACACAGUGGCGCUUGGUAGGCUUGCCUGCACCUGCUGGACCAGAGGGUGAGAAACCUUUCAGAACCAAGCAGGCAAAUGGACUUCUGGCAUUCACGGAGGGUGGCAUCAGGCCAGCAUCUCUGGAGUGUUAAAGUCAAUUUAACUGCAGAGGCUAGGUGUUUAAACCAUUUUGACAAACACAGAUGUAGUAGGUGGUUAAUAGAGCUUAGAGCUGUUGCUAUUUCCUCCCUGGGAUGUCACUCUGGGGAACAGUCAGAUAUCAGAGGUACAGCCAGGGGCUGAUGGAGGGUCUGGGGUAUGGCGUCAGUGGCAGAAAGACAUUUCUCACUACCCUGGAGGCUGAAUGUUCACGGUCUGGCCUGGCUCUGUGUCUGGUUCCUGGUGAGAGCUCUUCCUUGCUUUUGCCUGGGUCUGUACAAGAAGUUUUCUGAUUCCUUCUGAUAGGGACAGUCAACUGUCUGGGUCAGACAGUUAGCAUUUCAUUUUACCUUAAUUGGCCCCCUAAGGUCCCAGGGUUGGGGUUUCAAUGCCUGAAUUUAAGUGGGAGCAUCCAGUCCACAAGGCUUUUACUCUGUGAACUUGAAUAGAACAUGUGUGUUUCCUCUAGUUUCUUAACUUGAAUACACCCGGCUCUGAGCUCAGGACAUUUUACAAAGACUUGCUAACCCCGUUGUCCCUAAACAUCUCUCUAGCUCCGGGAAUCCUGCAUGAAUUCUAGAAAGAGAGGCUCCUCAAGACCUACAGAGAGGGCUCAGCAGUAAAGAGCACUUGCUGCUCUUCCAGAAGACCUGGCUUCCAUUCCCAGUGACCACACGGUGGGUCACAGCAGUCUGGAAGUCUAGUCUGAGGUCAUCUAGUGCCCUCUUCUGGCCUUUUCAGGAACUACGUGAGCAUGAUGCAAAGCACCCAGACACAUAUAACAAAUAAAAUGAAAUAAAGAAAUAAGAGAGUGCCCUUGAUAGGGGAAUGGGGGCCGCAGAUUCGGUGGCUAAGAACCAGGCCUAUGAAUGUAGGCUCCUAUGUUACAUGGACACAAGACUUUGUCCUACAGUUCCCUCACGGCUGCAAGCUGCCCCUCCUACCAGCUCUGGUGUCUCUUCCAGAGAGCUCAUACAAAAAUCAUGCUCUGGAGUCUAGCCACCUUCCCUGAACCAUUGCCAUGCCUUCCCUUCACAGAUCCUGUGGCACUUUCUCCAUCUAGGCUGGGGCUCCAAAGCCUGGCUUUCUUUCAAGGUAGGGUGAAGCCUGGAGAUGUUCAAAGCAGACGCUUCUUAGCAUCCAUUCUCAUAAUUGUGAUCCUGGGGAAGAUAAUAGAUGCAUGGUGUCAGGAUGACAUGGGGAAGCGCCAGCAUCUUCAAUCAAAAUCAACAGGCAUUUGUGCUUCCUGGGCAAAUGCCACAUGCCCACUCUUGAGUGGGACAAGAAAGACAGAGAGGGCUUACAAGUACCAGUGGUUCCUGAAAAGGAGAGAAUGGGCUAAUUAGGAGCCCAUGUCUGCCCACCAUCCUGGCUUUGCUUGAGGUGACUGCAAUAGUACCCUGCCACCUUCCCAUAGGCUAGUGUUUUCUAAACUUAAAAGGAGAAUUACAUCAGCAGCUUAAGCAGGAGGACACAGUGCUCUGGUACUUUAAAAGAUGAAGGAGAAGCUGCUGUGGCCGGUGGGUCUCAGUUUGCCUGCCCUGUGCUUCUUCAAAGAGCCCCUCUCACUUGCCAGCGACACUUAGCUGCGGUAGGUAUCCACAGGGGUUCUGGGGUCUGCGGUGUGAGCAAUGGGACUGUGGGGUUCUGGUCUGAAGCCGGCAGCCCCUCUUGUUGUAUAUUAUGGUCUAGUGUCCCUCUCCCCUGAAGAGAUCCAGGCUGGAGCCUCGAGGAUGACAGCAUAGAGAAGUCGUUUGUCCUUCCUCAGGGGUCAGCAAGCAAAGCUGACUUUCCCAUUGGGCUCUUUUGACUAGGAGGACCCUGGGGAUUUUGAAUAAUUUAGGGACUAUCUUCCUGUCUGAAGAACACGUAAGGACCCAAGCAAUGAAUUGUGGCAAUACGAAUAAGGAGCUGAUGUCAUCAAUUCCAUCCUCCCAGGAUGUCCUUAUCUGACCUGCCAUGGAAGCUCCUGGGGGCUCUAACUGUCGUCCUCCAGAGUCCCUCCGAGGCCCUCCCACUCCCUGAAGACUCUGCCUUUGGCUCAGCUGUGAUCAGAGUUUCUCCCUUCCAGAAGAUUCCCUCCUUCAGUCCUUCCUCCUUCACUGUUCCCUUCCCUCCGCCCUUCUGUUCUUGUCCUCCUGCACUCUGUCAACCUGUUUUUAGGAGAGGGUCCCUCCUGAUGAGGGUCUUGAUUCACAGCUGUCCUUGCUCCUAGGGCUGUUUCCAUGGAAACCAGAAGCAAAGAGGUCAUUCAAAGGAAAACCCAAGAGCAGACAUCUGUGGAAACAGCCCCCAUCCCUCGGCAGUUUAACAAGCGGGCUGCACCAGCGAGAGACUGUGCUCUUCCCGAGCUAGGCUGCAGCUGAAAUAAUCAAACUCCAGAGGACAGCAUGGGGGAGAUUUGCAGGGAUGGCGUGGGGUGGGGCUAGGGUUGGGGGAGGUGGGAAGAGUCUUCAGCAACCAGUGCAACCCGGAUGCAUGUUACAUUGUUAUUCAUUAGAGCCCUUUCCCAUAUCCUGUCUGCACUAAGUUCUCCAGCUUUAGCCUUGUUAUUUCUCCUUCCGGUGAGAAAGAAGCCGGAGUGUUAGAGCCCAGGAAACAGAACUCCAAAGACCAAAGUUAUGAGAGGCUGGGGGGAGGGGGGGGGUCGUCUUACACUCGCCCACACUCCCAAAGCUCAAGUCCCUCUGACCUUGUGCUUUUUAUUAUCUAUUCAAGUGGCAGAAUAGACUUGUCACAUGCCUUGUCCUCUUCUGGUCCCACAGAGAAUCAUUUACAAACCACUGUCUACUUUAUGACCCGUGAGACUCUGUCCUGGGCUGUUGUAUAUGCUCAACGCUCAUUAGGUUCCCCCUAAAAGUCACAUAUGAGUCAUCUCAAAAUUGUCUACACUCUCUCCUCCCCAACAGGAGUGGGGUGUGCCUUUUUUUGCACCCCACUGAGCUGGUGGGUGGCCACGCACUUGUGACUUUCUGUGUUCUGGUUUUUCCGUGUUUGCACAUUCACAGAUCUGUAUACUUUUUCUCCGG
ensembl:antisense Gm28884 predicted gene 28884